UACGUAGGGGGCUAGCGUUGUCCGGAAUCAUUGGGCGUAAAGAGCGUGUAGGCGGUCCGGUAAGUCCGCUGUGAAAGUCGGGGGCUCAACCUCGAAUGCCGGUGGAUACUGUCGGGCUAGAGUGCGGGAAGAGGCGAGUGGAAUUCCUGGUGUAGCGGUGAAAUGCGCAGAUAUCAGGAGGAACACCUAUUGCGAAGGCAGCUCGCUGGGACGUAACUGACGCUGAGACGCGAAAGCGUGGGGAGCAAACAGG
rnacentral:rRNA from 1 species